GACGCCCCUCAUCUCUGAUCUCUGCUCUCCCUUUGCAUUUGACGCCUCCAUCUCUUCUCUCUGCCUUGCUCUGCCUUCGUACCAAAAACACUGAUCUGCUACCAAAAACCAUGUAUCAACACUGAUCUGAUUUUUUUUUUUUUUUUACCGAGUGUGGGAAAAAAAAUUUCGGAUCUUGCUAUGAAUGGGUAUUGUUCCUUUACUUGUUUUGUUAUUUGUUUUUGCUGAUUGGAAUAUAUAAUGAAGUGUUAGUUUGAUGAAUAUAUAAUGGGUAUUGUUUUCGGAUCUUGCUGAUUGGAAUAUAUACAUGUUCUCAUGAAGUGUUUUUGUUUAUUUGUUUUGUUAUAACAAAAUUUCGGAUCUUGCUAUGAAUGUGUAUUUACUUGGAGAUAUUGUUAUGCUUCACAGACUGGUUGCAACAUUUUGUACUCUUCGAAGAACUUAUAUAUUUCAGUUGUGUUAGCUUGUGUUUUGGUUUGUAACAUUUAAUGUCUAGAUAAAGAAAUUUGGGCAGAUCUAUGUGUCAGGGUUUUUUUUUUUUCUCUAUGUUAUGGUUUUUGCUUGUUUGUUAGGUUUAGAUUCUUUAUCUUUAAUCACUGUUUAAAGCUGUAGUUGAAGCUUUCAACGUAGUAGUGUAGUCAUUUGCACUAAUGGAAAUUGAUUGCUUAUGUUUAA